ACCUGGCCAAGACCGCCUUCGACGA
rnacentral:misc_RNA from 1 species